rnacentral:rRNA from 1 species
AACUUUCAACAACGGAUCUCUUGGCUCUGGCAUCGAUGAAGAACGCAGCGAAAUGCGAUAAGUAAUGUGAAUUGCAGAAUUUAGUGAAUCAUCGAAUCUUUGUAACGCACAUUGCGCCCCUGGGAAUUCCCAGGGGCAUGCCUGUUCGAGCGUCC